CUUAUAUCUGAACCUACCAUUCCAGUGGUAUAUUAGUUCAUAAUUGUUUGACCAAAUUUAAAGGAUAUGCUGAUGUUGACACAAAAGGUGGGGUCUCUCAGACUAUAAACAACGUGGACACAUUAUUCCAAUCUUACUUUGAUGCUCAUUCAUUUAACAUAUUUGUAUGCAUCCGUUUUCAACUCUCAAAGACUGUGGUGGAGAAUCCAACAAUGCAGACCAUGGAUAUUGAUGAUGACACAUCUCCCAACAAGCCCAGUGUUACAUUUUCAGCUCAUUUUCAUUGGUGGAAGAGACCCUCUGGAAUUGCUGCAGUGUGUCUGGGGCUGCUGUGUGUUCUCCUAUUGGCUGGGAUCAUAGGCCUGUUUGUCUACUAUGGCGUCAUCGAUCAUCACUACUCAACAGAGAGAGACCAACAGACCAGUUACAGCCUUCUGACUAAAGAAGGAGAUCAGCAACCAACCAGUUAUAAUAAUGUGACUAAAGAGGGACAACAGCUACAGACCAGUUACAACACCCUGACUAAAGAGAGAGACCAGCUACAGAGCAGUUACAACAACCUGACUGAAGAGAGAUACCAGCUACAGACCAGUUACAAC